UACGGAGGGUGCAAGCGUUAUCCGGAUUCACUGGGUUUAAAGGGUGCAUAGGCGGGCAGGUAAGUCCGUGGUGAAAUCUCUGAGCUUAACUCAGAAACUGCCAUGGAUACUAUUUGUCUUGAAUAUUGUGGAGGUGAGCGGAAUAUGUCAUGUAGCGGUGAAAUGCUUAGAUAUGACAUAGAACACCAAUUGCGAAGGCAGCUCACUACACAAUUAUUGACGCUGAGGCACGAAAGCGUGGGGAUCAAACAGG
rnacentral:rRNA from 1 species